CUCCGCCGCCACGUCCCAGCUCCGGCUCCGGCUCCUCCUCAACGCCCACGCCGUCGCCGUCAUCAGCAGGUACCUCGCGCGGACGCCUUCUCCUACAAUCCCUGGUCGAGCUCUUCUCCUCCCCUCUUACCGCCUCUUCCUCCUGCUCUAAGUCGCGGCGGAAGCUGCCUAGAGAAGAACCGGCCGCGGCCCUGAGGUGCCGUCAAGGAUCAUGGCCUCCGGUCGCCGGGAGGCGUCCGGUCACAUGGAGGUGAGUGGCCGCUGAGAGGAGGGGAACAGCACGGUGCCAUGGCUAAGGGAGGCAGGGUUUGACAUGGGGGAGUAGGCGAGCGAGAUGUGGACCGACAGAGGGAUUCGGCCUCCACCGCUAGAGAUGGACGCCGACAUUGUAUUGAGGAGAAGCACUGGCCGUUGCAGCCCGCCACGACCUUGGUUCCAGAAGACAUGGUGGCAUUUGCACCACUUACAGGCAACCUAGGUCACUGCCCGAGUUAGUUCUAUCAAGGAGAUGGUUAAUAAUGCCGCGGCUUCACUCCCUGUUAAAGUGAACAAUAUGACGAUGAUUGCAAAUGUCAUUAAUCUUGGCAAGGAAUUCUGGCUCUUUUUCUGGUUACAUAGCAUGCCGUUGUCUCUCUUUGUUGAUUAUAUGAGAUCUUUAUGAUUGCUGAACAAUGGAAGUUCUUCAGAUGUUGUGUCUGUCCUUUGGUUGCUAUAUGUUAUUUGCAAUUUCUACUAUUCUGUAACUCUUGCUUAUAUAGGUAUGUUAUGUGAAUAUCUCGCUGUUAAAUCCACUUUGAAACAUAGUCAUUUAGGGACAUAUAGUAAUAGACUUGCAUAAUCAUGUAUCUGGUUGUCUUCAGUUCGUCCUUUCUGUAAGAGUUAGAUGCUAAUUUUUGUCUGCGUGGGUGACAUGAACCAUUGCUUUGGUCACAGUACAUGCACUGUACCAUAGACACAGGAGCAUGUGGAUAGGUAUACUUGGAUGGUCCACGGGAAUUUCUCAAGGCAUUGCAAGAUAGUUGACAUGAAUGUGAUAAACAGACUACCUAGAAGCUUUAUAAAACGACAAAGAUGGCCGAUCUACAGAAGUUGGUAUGCAUAGACCAGCCAAGCAUGCAUUGUUUGGCAGAUCUGAAGCAUCUGCAGAUCCAUGAGCAUGCCUUGUUUGACAGAUCUGAAGCAACUUAUGGGUACUCAGAUGAUAAAUAGCAGGAGAUGGUGUGGCAAGAAAAGGGGAGUGCAGGCUGCUGCUUAGCUCCAUGUCAGGUGAAGUGCGAGAAGAUCUUUCUUCACGUGGAUAAGGCUGCGUUGAUCCCUGUUUUCUCCGGCCCAGUACAACAGAGUAUAUGUAAAGAGGUAGCGCCUUGGAGGUCUGCAACAAGGACAUGCUGGAGACUUUCUGCUGGUCUUACAAAAGGUGCAGAUUGAUCUGAAUCAAGAAGUAACUAUUUAUGGAUGAAGGGUGGGCAUGAUAAGAUGGCAGAGCUUUUGUCUAUCACGCCAUAUCUGCAUCAUCUCGAACCUCCAGCUGUAGCAGCCGGACGCAUCACUCCUGCUCUCAUCGACCAGCAGGUCGAGUGUGUGAGAUGGAUGAUUUGCCAAGAAAGCAACGACAGCUAAUUGUGAAAGCAGCAGAUGCAGGCUUCUUUUUUACAUGAAUAGUAGUUCAAUUAAUGAUACGCGGUCUGGUUUAUAUGCUACAGAUCCAGCCUUCUUUUUUACAUGAAUAGCAGUUCAAUUAAUUAUACGCGGUCUCCUUUGUAUGCUACAGG